ensembl:lncRNA
AAAAGAGUGAUUCUGGUGAAUAUGUCUUAGAAAUCUAUUAUUCAAAUGGAACACAUUUGAGCACAGGAGGAGUACAACUGAUAAUUGGAGCUUAUCAUGCAGGAGAAUCUUAUGGGACUGUCAUAGGCUCACUAGUAGCUGUGGUCCUGGUCCUAACCGUGGUGGUGGGACCUUACUGUAUUCACAAGAGGAGGACACCUUCACAGAUUCCAGGUCAGUCGUGUGACAGAUCUAAAAAACAAAGAGUACUAUGUACAGUACACCGAUUGAUACCACAUUCAGUCAGCUCAUGUGACUGUUGUUUCAGUGUUAUUGCUCACUUUAGAACUUUUUAUGUGGGCUUUUCUACUUCACAUAGUGUUGGCCUAGAUACGUUUCAAUAGGGCUAUUUCCAGAUCUACAGAUAGGCCAAGUGCAUGUGAACUAUGUGAAUCUAUGUGAAUCAACAUUAAUGCUUAAUGCCCCAAUGCAGCUGUUUUUAUAUCAAUAUCAAAUCAUUUCUGGGUAACAAUUAAGUACCUUACUCUAAUAGAUUGCUAUUCAAAUGGGCAAAAAUAGCAUUUUAGCAAACAUUUUCCUAGGUCUGUCUGGGACUGGUCUAAGUGGGAAGUGGACAACUGAAAACUAGCUGUUAUUGGCAGAGAGGAUUGGAAGUCUUUUGUUAUUGGUCUAUUAACUAAUUUACCACAUGGUGAGGUCACCAUGGAAAGCCGAAACUCCUUCCCAAGCAAACCUGCAGAAUAGAAGGUCAUGUGCAGAUUGUAUUGUCAACCAACAACUAUCAGGAAAUUAUGUUGUCAUACUUUUACAGUGUUAUAUUCAUCAGCUGUUGUACAAUAUGAUAUAAAACACAGCAAACACAUUAUUUGGACUGCACUGGGCCAUUAAGUAGGCUUUUGACCCUCAAAGUGUAAUUGUCUACAAAUGAUCUGUGCAGUAGUCAAUUCCCCUCCAAACACUCAUGUCACAUCUCCCGAGUCCCCACAGAUGCUGAUGAGAGUCCAGAACUGGAAUAUGCUGACAUCAAUAUUCUAAAGAAGAUGGAGAAACACAGGGAGGUUCCAGAGGAUGUGGAGUAUGGACAGGUUGUAGUAUUGAAGGGUUCCAGACCAACCACAGAGAGAGACAGACCUGAGGGGCGGGAGGAGACUGUGUAUGCUGGAAUACAGCUUGACCAAUGAGAGAGAUUCUUGUGAAGGGUUGAUAUUUAGACAGAACAUUAAAGCUCUGUUGCUUCUUUUGUUACUGUAACUAUUAGUAUCUAACGGUCCCAUAUUUCUGUACACAUUUACAUGAAAUGUAAAUGAACAACCCAACAACUAAACUGUAUACACUGGCCGUAGAGAGUCCUUCUGUUAUUGAUUGAACAUGU